rnacentral:rRNA from 1 species
GGGUUGUGAGGUUAAGCGACUAAGCGUACACGGUGGAUGCCCUGGCAGUCAGAGGCGAUGAAGGACGUGCUAAUCUGCGAUAAGCGUCGGUAAGGUGAUAUGAACCGUUAUAACCGGCGAUUUCCGAAUGGGGAAACCCAGUGUGAUUCGUCACACUAUCAUUAACUGAAUCCAUAGGUUAAUGAGGCGAACCGGGGGAACUGAAACAUCUAAGUACCCCGAGGAAAAGAAAUCAACCGAGAUUCCCCCAGUAGCGGCGAGCGAACGGGGAGCAGCCCAGAGCCUGAAUCAGUGUGUGUGUUAGUGGAAGCGUCUGGAAAGGCGCGCGAUACAGGGUGACAGCCCCGUACACAAAAAUGCACAUACUGUGAGCUCGAUGAGUAGGGCGGGACACGUGGUAUCCUGUCUGAAUAUGGGGGGACCAUCCUCCAAGGCUAAAUACUCCUGACUGACCGAUAGUGAACCAGUACCGUGAGGGAAAGGCGAAAAGAACCCCGGCGAGGGGAGUGAAAAAGAACCUGAAACCGUGUACGUACAAGCAGUGGGAGCACAGAGCAAUCUGUGUGACUGCGUACCUUUUGUAUAAUGGGUCAGCGACUUAUAUUCUGUAGCAAGGUUAACCGAAUAGGGGAGCCGAAGGGAAACCGAGUCUUAACUGGGCGUUAAGUUGCAGGGUAUAGACCCGAAACCCGGUGAUCUAGCCAUGGGCAGGUUGAAGGUUGGGUAACACUAACUGGAGGACCGAACCGACUAAUGUUGAAAAAUUAGCGGAUGACUUGUGGCUGGGGGUGAAAGGCCAAUCAAACCGGGAGAUAGCUGGUUCUCCCCGAAAGCUAUUUAGGUAGCGCCUCGUGAAUUCAUCUCCGGGGGUAGAGCACUGUUUCGGCAAGGGGGUCAUCCCGACUUACCAACCCGAUGCAAACUGCGAAUACCGGAGAAUGUUAUCACGGGAGACACACGGCGGGUGCUAACGUCCGUCGUGAAGAGGGAAACAACCCAGACCGCCAGCUAAGGUCCCAAAGUCAUGGUUAAGUGGGAAACGAUGUGGGAAGGCCCAGACAGCCAGGAUGUUGGCUUAGAAGCAGCCAUCAUUUAAAGAAAGCGUAAUAGCUCACUGGUCGAGUCGGCCUGCGCGGAAGAUGUAACGGGGCUAAACCAUGCACCGAAGCUGCGGCAGCGACGCUGAUGCGUUGUUGGGUAGGGGAGCGUUCUGUAAGCCUGUGAAGGUGU